rnacentral:snRNA from 1 species
GUAUGGCUUCGGCAGCACAUAAACUAAGAUUGGAAUGAUACAGAGAAGAUUAGCAUGGC